UACGUAGGGUGCAAGCGUUAAUCGGAAUACUGGGCGUAAAGCGUGCGCAGGCGGUUAUGUAAGACAGUUGUGAAAUCCCCGGGCUCAACCUGGGAAUUGCAUCUGUGACUGCAUAGCUAGAGUACGGUAGAGGGGGGAUGGAAUUCCGCGUGUAGCAGUGAAAUGCGUAGAUAUGCGGAGGAACACCGAUGGCGAAGGCAAUCCCCUGGACCUGUACUGACGCUCAUGCACGAAAGCGUGGGGAGCAAACGAGGAUU
rnacentral:rRNA from 1 species